GUUGAAUUUUCCAGUUUUAUCUCGAAUUAUUUUUCGUUUUUUUCCCAUUUCUUUUAGGAAGCAGAAGAAGUUGAUUUUGUUGGUCAUGUUGCCAUAAUGGCUAUUGACUUGUUUUGAACUGUCAACUCAUGAUAAUUAAGAAGUUGCUCAUAAUUUGUAAAAUUUUUCAAUGAAGGUCCAGCAUCGGAUUGACAGUAUUCGUAUUUAGUCUAGUAAAGUGCCUUUUCUUUUCAAACCAGUCAUUGCCUUACUACAACCAUAGACAACGAAGUGGAAGACCACGAAGGGGGCCAUAAGGCUGAGAGGACGGGAGGUACAGGGGGAUAUAGGCGUUAGCGGUCUUCCACUUCGUUGUCUAUGAUUGCAAGUUGAUGCUUUCCUAGUAUGAAUGAGCUUCGAUCAAAGUUGACAUUGCAGAAUAACCUUUCAAGCCAAAUUCAUCUUUUUCAAAAGGACUUGAUGGAAGGAUUUUGAUCAUACUGGGAAUGCCUUUAUCAAAAAUGGAAAGUUAUAAUAAGAUUAAUUCAUCUGUAAGAAUAAACAUGUAUAUAAUGUUUACAUUUGCAAUCAGUUUAAUAAUACAGGAUCUGAAAAGGUUCCUUGUUGGGGCAAAGUACUAAAUAAAUUAUAACUUUGGAACACUUUGGAAGUUGAUGCUUUCUCAGAAUGAAUGAGCUUCAAGGUUGAUGUUGCAGAUGUUAAUGAUGUUACAUUGACUGGAUUCCUAUUCAUUAACCUUUCAAAACCAAAUUCAUCUUCUUAAAAUGGACUUGAAAAGAUUUCGAUCAUUCUGGGAACAUUACGUUAAUUUGGAUAAAAACUGUUAAAAGUGUUCAGUGGAUUUGAAGAAACAGGGUAGAAAAGCGUCAUAGCUAGGGCUCGAUCUCCAUUACCUGAGACCGCUACUUAUUACCGAAAGCUUCUGGUACGACAGCCAAAAAAUAAAUCCUAUUAAAAGCUAAUUUUAGUUAUGUCGCGCCAGUAUGUUCCGGUAGUAAACCGGGUCGUCAUCGUUUUUUAUAUUUAUUAAAAAAACCAUAGGUCCCCCGUAAAAACGAAGUAUGUUUUCGUCAUCCUCGUUACAUUUCAAAUCGAAAACAUGUAUUUAAAAUUAUAUCUAGAAUUUGUCAAAAAAUGAAAAAGUGGUAAGUCAAAAACCACAUCUCUUGGAAUUCUAUGAAAAUCACACAUUAAAAUAAUAAUUUAACGCUGAUUUCGAAAAACUUAUUCGUUUUCUCUUCAAAUCAGCCGUUUUUUAACAAUCGAAAUUUAAUUGACUGUAGCGCAACAUAUUUGUUCAUUCCUUUUUCAAUAAUCCGUAAUCUGUAAUAUCCAAUGUGAAAACAAACUUAGUUUUCGUGACACUCUUUCAGUUUUCAACCUAAAUCUUGUGCAGUUUGUUAUGUCCACUUAAAAAAAAAAAAACCAAAAAAUAAAACAACAAAUAAACACACACAUACACAGUU